rnacentral:rRNA from 1 species
UACGUAGGGUGCGAGCGUUAAUCGGAAUUACUGGGCGUAAAGCGUGCGCAGGCGGUUUUGUAAGCCAGAUGUGAAAUCCCCGGGCUUAACCUGGGAAUGGCAUUUGGGACUGCAAGGCUGGAGUGUGGCAGAGGAGACUGGAAUUCCCGGUGUAGCAGUGAAAUGCGUAGAUAUCGAGAGGAACACCAGUGGCGAAGGCGAGUCCCUGGAAAACACCUGACACUGAGGCACGAAAGCUAGGGGAGCAAACAGG